AUUGAACGCUGGCGGCAGGCCUAACACAUGCCAGUCGAGCGGAUGAAGGGAGCUUGCUCCUGGAUUCAGCGGCGGACGGGUGAGUAAUGCCUAGGAAUCUGCCUGGUAGUGGGGGAUAACGUCCGGAAACGGGCGCUAAUACCGCAUACGUCCUGAGGGAGAAAGUGGGGGAUCUUCGGACCUCACGCUAUCAGAUGAGCCUAGGUCGGAUUAGCUAGUUGGUGGGGUAAAGGCCUACCAGGGCGACGAUCCGUAACUGGUCUGAGAGGAUGAUCAGUCACACUGGAACUGAGACACGGUCCAGACUCCUACGGGAGGCAGCAGUGGGGAAUAUUGGACAAUGGGCGAAAGCCUGAUCCAGCCAUGCCGCGUGUGUGAAGAAGGUCUUCGGAUUGUAAAGCACUUUAAGUUGGGAGGAAGGGCAGUAAGUUAAUACCUUGCUGUUUUGACGUUACCAACAGAAUAAGCACCGGCUAACUUCGUG
rnacentral:rRNA from 1 species